AGCUUCGGUGGCUACGGAUGGGCAUAUGUCCCAUUAGCUUGUUGGUGAGGUAACUGCUCACCAAGGCUACGAUGGGUAGGGGGUCUGAGAGGAUGAUCCCCCACACUGGUACUGAGACACGGACCAGACUCGGACGGGAGGCAGCAGUGAGGAAUAUUGGUCAAUGGGCGAAAGCCUGAACCAGCCAUGCCGCGUGCAGGAUGACAGUCCUACGGAUUGUAAACUGCUUUUCUGCAAGAAGAAAUGUUCCGACGUGUCGGGAUUUGACGGUAUUGCAGGAAUAAGCAUCGGCUAACUCCGUGCCAGCAGCCGCGGUAAUACGGAGGAUGCAAGCGUUAUCCGGAUUCAUUGGGUUUAAAGGGUGCGUAGGCGGAUUAGAUAGUCAAAGGUGAAAGCCUGCAGCUUAACUGUAGAAGUGCCUUUGAUACUGCUAAUCUUGAGUACAGUUGAGGCGAGUGGAAUGUGUAGUGUAGCGGUGAAAUGCAUAGAUACUACACAGAACACCAAUUGCGAAGGCAGCUCGCUAAGCUGUUACUGACGCUCAGGCACGAAAGCGUGGGGAGCGAACAGGAUUAGAUACCCUGGUAGUCCACGCUGUAAACUAUGAUCACUAGCUGUUGGCGAUAAAUUGUCAGUGGCUCAGCGAAAGCGUUAAGUGAUCCACCUGGGGAGUACGAUCGCAAGGUUGAAACUCAAAGGAAUUGACGGGGGCCCGCACAAGCGGUGGAACAUGUGGUUUAAUUCGAUGAUACGCGAGGAACCUUACCUGGGCUUAAAUGUAGAGCGACGUCUCGGGAAAUCGGGAUUCCCUUCGGGGCGAACUACAAGGUGCUGCAUGGUUGUCGUCAGCUCGUGCCGUGAGGUAUCGGGUUAAGUCCCAUAACGAGCGCAACCCUUAUUGUUAGUUGCCAGCGGAUAAUGCCGGGGACUCUAACAAAACUGCCCGUGUAAACGUGAGGAAGGUGGGGAUGACGUCAAAUCAGCACGGCCCUUAUGUCCAGGGCUACACACGUGUUACAAUGGCUGGACCAAAGGGCAGCUACCACGCAAGUGGAUGCUAGUCUCUA
rnacentral:rRNA from 1 species